rnacentral:rRNA from 1 species
GGCCACAAGGUUAAAACUCAAAUGAAUUGACGGGGGCCCGCACAAGCGGUGGAGCAUGUGGUUUAAUUCGAUGCAACGCGAAGAACCUUACCUGGUCUUGACAUCCACGGAAGAAUUCAGAGAUGGAUUUGUGCCUUCGGGAACCGUGAGACAGGUGCUGCAUGGCUGUCGUCAGCUCGUGUUGUGAAAUGUUGGGUUAAGUCCCGCAACGAGCGCAACCCUUAUCCUUUGUUGCCAGCGGUCCGGCCGGGAACUCA